AAACUUCAACUACCAUCCAUAUGAUUUCACACUUUCUCACUUUAAUAUUAUGUGGUUUAAAGUGUAUAAAUUUAGUCCUGUGGUUUAUUUUUAUCUUUUUAUUAUCAAUUCCACUAAUUUUUUUCGUUAAAUCAGUGACAAAGUUAAAAUUAAAGGGCACUAAAGUAAAUAUUCGAUAAAUCUAGUUGGGGUAUCUGAAGCUUUUUGUAUAUAUUUUAACAAAAUAUUAACGAAAAAGCUGACGAAAAGAUAAAAAUGAUAUCACAAGAUACUAACUUGAUACACUUUAAACCACAGCGCACAAAAGUGAGAAAGUGCGAAACCACAUGGGUAGUGUUAGAAGUU
rnacentral:lncRNA from 1 species